GAAAACUGCAUCAGGAUGAUGUCUCCAUUAACUCUGAUUGUGGUGUUGGGUUUUCUGAGUCAGGAAUCUUCUGCCAACAAUUUUCUGACUCAGACUGACAAAUCCAAGUCUGUUAGUCUUGGUGGGUCUGUGACCAUCAGCGCCACAGGGAGUUCGAAUAUUGGUGCUGAUCUCAGUUGGUACCUUCAGAAACCUGGACAGGCUCCAAAACUUCUUAUAUACACUGCAUCAACUCGACCUUCAGGAACUCCGUCUCGAUUCAGUGGCAGUAGAUCUGGUUCUAGCUACACUUUAACCAUCAGUGGUGUUCAGGCUGAAGAUGUUGGAGAUUACUACUGUCUUGGUGCCCAUGGUGGUGGAGUGUUCACUUUCGGUGGAGGAACCAAACUCCUCAUUGACUUGGGUGUGGUGCGGCCCACCCUGACCGUCCUCCCCCCCCCCAGAGAGCAGCUGCAGCAGGGCAGUGCCACACUGGUGUGUAUGGCCAGCGGGGGCUUCCCCUCGGCCUGGAGGCUGGGCUGGAAGGUGGGGGGCAGCAGCAGCUCCUCGGGGGUCUCAAACAGCCCCGAGGACCUGGGGAAUGACGGCCGCUACAGCUGGACCAGCACCCUGAGCCUCACUGCAGACCAGUGGAGGAGGGCGGGCUCAGUGAGCUGUGAGGCCAGUCUGAAUGGACAGAGCCCUGUCAUUCAAACCCUGGACCCUGACCGCUGCUAAGAGUAGAGCUUCAGACACACUUCCUGUCUGGAAGUGAUGCUGCUUCUUUGAUAGAGAUCUCGAUGACGCUGCAGAUCUCCUCUCUUCAGAUAUUUCUGCAAACUCAUGACUCUGUUUUAAUGUGCAUGCAGCUUUCAGUAACUAAUCUUACUCAUGACCUGCUUCAUAGUGAUUAUUUUAGUGUCGUUCAAAAUUUUUAACUAUAAAAUAAA